rnacentral:rRNA from 1 species
GAUGAACGCUGGCGGCGUGCCUAAUACAUGCAAGUCGAGCGAACGGACGAGAAGCUUGCUUCUCUGAUGUUAGCGGCGGACGGGUGAGUAACACGUGGAUAACCUACCUAUAAGACUGGGAUAACUUCGGGAAACCGGAGCUAAUACCGGAUGAUAUUUUGAACCGCAUGGUUCAAAAGUGAAAGACGGUCUUGCUGUCACUUAUAGAUGGAUCCGCGCUGCAUUAGCUAGUUGGUAAGGUAACGGGUUACCAAGGCAACGAUGCAUAGCCGACCUGAGAGGGUGAUCGGCCACACUGGAACUGAGACACGGUCCAGACUCCUACGGGAGGCAGCAGUAGGGAAUCUUCCGCAAUGGGCGAAAGCCUGACGGAGCAACGCCGCGUGAGUGAUGAAGGUCUUCGGAUCGUAAAACUCUGUUAUUAGGGAAGAACAUAUGUGUAAGUAACUGUGCACAUCUUGACGGUACCUAAUCAGAAAGCCACGGCUAACUACGUG